rnacentral:Y_RNA from 1 species
GGCUGGUCCGAGUGCCGUGGUGUUUACAAUUAAUUGACUACAGCCAGUUACAGAUUUCUUUGUUCCUUCUCCACUCCCACUGCACUGAUUGAUGCAAAA